rnacentral:rRNA from 1 species
AUGCUUAACACAUGCAAGUCGAACGUGCCUUCGGGCAAGUGGCAGACGGCUGAGUAACGCGUGAGUAACACACCCUUCGGUGGGGUAUAGCCUCGGGAAACUGAGGGUAAUCCCGCAUACGAUCCCUAUGCUCUGGUGUAGGGAUGAAAGCCUUCGGGCGCCGGAGGAGUGGCUCGCGUCCUAUCAGGUAGUUGGUGAGGUAACGGCUCACCAAGCCGAUGACGGGUAGCUGGUCUUAGAGGACGAUCAGCCAGAGGGGGACUGAGACACGGCCCCCACUCCUACGGGAGGCAGCAGCAGGGAAUUUUGGGCAAUGGACGAAAGUCUGACCCAGCGACGUCGCGUGGGGGAUGAAGGCUCUAGGGCUGUAAACCCCUUUUCCGAGGGAAGAGGAAGGACGGUACCUCGGGAAUAAGCUCCGGCUAACUACGUGCCAGCAGCCGCGGUAAUACGUAGGGAGCGAGCGUUACCCGGAAUUACUGGGCGUAAAGAGCACGUAGGCGGUUGGAUAAGUCUUCUGUGAAAGCUCCCGGCUCAACUGGGAGAGGUCAGGGGAUACUAUUUGACUUGAGGGCUGUAGAGGUAAGCGGAAUUCCCGGUGUAGCGGUGAAAUGCGUAGAUAUCGGAAGGAACACCAGUGG